rnacentral:lncRNA from 1 species
GGAAGUCAAGCUCAUCUGCUUUGUUCCAACAUAUGGGGGGUAUAUCCAGCAAAAUGCAAUGAAAAGUAGAUCCAUUGGACUUGUACACUUUACAAACCCAAUCCAGGCUAAGUGAAAGAAAAUCUUGUGAUCCACGUGCAUCAUGAAAGACUCUCAUAACACACUUCAUCAACGUAUUCACACACAUGGCCGAAAUUGUUCUCCUCUGUCGCGCCGAAAUUCGUCAUCGGUGGCGGCGGAGCCUUAAAAUAGUCAAACUAUACCCCAUUCUCUUUGCGCCACAACCCUUUAUCUGAAACCUUACUCUAUUUCGUCCAAUUUCAACCCAAUCAAACCAAAUUAUCCACCACAGUCAAGAACCUUAAUCCAUAAUUACGUAAAUUAAAUGUAAGGGAGAUGAAAUUGAAGCCGACACCCUUAGCGCUUCAAUUCCCUAAGCUAAGGGUUACAUCUCGGUAACAAGUUGAAGACGAAAUGAAGGAGAAGUGCAAAGGAGCUUACCGGUCGGAGCAGUUUCGGCGACUCUUCAAGGUAAGUUCUUCAAGCUUUAUUCACUCAUUCUUCUUCGUCUUCCUCGCUUCUGUCUUCUUCUUUUUCUUCUUGCUUUUCUGGUUCCUCCUCCUCUUCUCUUCUUCUAUGCUUGAUGUGUGAGAGAUGAGAGAAUGAGAUUUUGAUAGGCGAAGGAGAAUCAAAGUGAGUGAAAAUGCAUAAUGAGGACGAAUCUACAAAAUUCUGAGAAAAAUGAGUGAAGAAUCGUCCUCUCUAAACGUGAAUGGAAACCAGAUUAUAUAGAGUUUCAACUUUAACAGAGAUUAACUCUGUUAAAGCUCUCUCAGUUCAAGUUAGUUAGAGGUUGGAUCUCUGUUAAAAAUCUAUCAAGGUUAGUUAGAAAUGUUAGUUAUGAUAUCAAUUUAUUAAUUGUUGAUUUGAAGUUAGUUAGUAGUUAGUGAUCCAAGGUGUGACUGGUUGAUGCAGGUUACAGGUUAACAUGAAUUAUGUGAAGUGGCUAUGGAUUAUACAUGGUGAUGACAUGCUAAACAGGUAUGAUUUCGAGUUGCAAGUUUUGAGUUAUUUUAGCAAACUGCAUGAUGACUUAUUGAUGCGGGUUGCAGGGUAAUGGUCUACUGAUGGGUGAGCAAGGUGGUUGCAUUCCUACUGCAGGUGUGAGUGAUGUUACGUGUGAAUCUGAUUUUUUAGUUCUGUUAUAGUUAAUUGGUUUUGUUAAAUGAUGUUAGUGAUAGUUGGUUGAAAUCUGUUAGGAGAAAAUCGUUAGCUUGAGUUUGAGUUAGCUGGUUUUUAAUUAGUUAAUUUCUUUGUAGCUUCAGUUGAGUUCGGUUGUUAGCUUGAAACUAAGUUUUGAAUUUAGGUAUGUUAGAUUUCAGUUGUUAAUCCUCUGUUAGUUAAUUAGUGUUGAAUCAACUAGAAGCUUAUUAGUUACAUUUAAUUUGUGAAGUCUAAUGGUGAUAUAAUGUGUUAGUUAACAGGCUGUUAUCAGUUAGGAAAACAUACAAGCUGUCAUAUGGUUUACUCAUGCCCUGUAUUGACUGUUAUGCCUUGGUCUAAAUAUUAGGACUAGUUUGCCUAUUUUUAGUGUUUGCUUGUUAUGAUGGUUGCUUAAUGAUGUUAAUGACUUGCUUUGAUAUGCUUGCAGACCCAUAAUGAGCUCAUGGUGGCAUAGCCAAAGGAAGCACAUGGAGGCCUUUGAGGAUGCAAGGAUGGGCUGCCAUAUUAAAAGCUCUUUUUUCCUUUCUUCCUUUUGAUUCAAACCAUGUUAUGAAAUAGAAUUGGGGCUUACUCUUUGUAUGGAUAUGAUCAUGUAAAGAUACACUUUGUAAUCAAACUUCAAUUAUCACUUCAAAUUAUGGAUGCCAUUUACACGGAUGCAAGCUAGUAAAUGAAUGAAAGUUAUGAGGUUUGGUUCUUUCUAGAAAAAGUCAAUUGUCGACCAAAGUCAACUUUGGUCGAAGUUAUAUUUUUUGUAAUUUUAUUUGUGAUGCAAUUAAUGAACAAAAACGGUUCUUUUAU